rnacentral:lncRNA from 1 species
GACACGAAAGGUCUCCUCAUCCCGCGAGUGGAUCGGCCUCCACCCUAGACCGAGGAGAGAAUGGCUCUGCCUGGACCGACCCCCGCGCCGGGCGGACCCGAUCUUCGGCCUAAAGCGUCCACCUGUCUGGAAGCCGCCGCCACCAAGCUUUUAUUAAUAUAUCCGUUCCCGCCGGGUUGGCUAUACAGAUGCGAAUCAACUCCGGGGGUGGGGUGAGGAGGAAGGCCGCGGAGCGGCGAUUGCUUCCUGGACGAGUUGCGUAGGGCGGGACAAAGUCUUGCCCUGAGCUCUGAUUGGUCACCGCGAGACUGCCUACCUAAGCUCUUCCAGGGUACCGAGGUUUUCCGGAAUCACUAAGAGGCUACAGGCCGGGUCCUUCGGCUCCGCGUUCCUAUUGGCUGCUGUUUCGGCGCAAGCGCUUUGGCUCCUGGGUUGGCGUUCAGGGUUGCCGAGGCAGGGCUUUGGCUACUGGAGAUCGUAGGUUCGAAUCCCGUCUGGGAAGUUCAACUUGUGCACCUGUAAAAGAAGCUGGCAUUAUUGGCUUGUACUCAAGGGCUGGCACAGAGUGUGUCGGGGUGCGGACGCCCCAGCCACGCCCAUCAUCCGUGCGGAAGAUGCAGAGGUCAUAUCGGAUACCCUUCUGUACCACACGAUUUGGGCAGUCAUAGCCGCAGCGGCAGCGGGAGUUGCACUCGUAGAUGGGCAGCCCGGCUCGAAGCCGCACCUGGCCCUGGUCAUUGUAGGCAAACUUGUGCAGUGACGCCCCCGGGCAGCAGCCUCCAGUGGGUGCCCACAGACAGUCCUGGCACUCGCAGCCCACAGCCACCUGGUUGAGGGUGAUGCCCUCACCAACACGGUACUCAUUGAUGUACACGAAGGCCCGCGGAGGGCCGUCCAGGUCCACCUCAUUCUCUACAGUGAUGCGUCCCAGAUGGCUGCGCUUGGCAUUGAGCUCCUGCUCCCAGCGACGGAGCGCCCGCCUCUGCUUGGCCUUCUGCACCAGGUAGUUGGCCAAGCUUGGGUCCAGGUGCCGGGGGGUCUUUGACCGGUGGUGCCGCCGGAGCAGCUCCCUUUCUAAGUCCUUGUGGAACUGCUUGAGGAUACGCACACACUUGAGAUUCUGCCGUGGCUCCCAGGUGCUCUCUGAGUCUGGAUAUCCACGCCAUUUCACCAGGUACUCGACUUCAAAGUCAUAGAGGUUCCUCUUAGAGAUACCGAGGGCAGGGCAGGAGAGCUUGGCCAGGCGGCACAGGUCCUGCAGCUGAUUCCAAGAAGACUUGCAACACACGCUGCAGCCUGGAUCAAGCGGGGCAGAAAGAACUAUUACUGGGCAGCCUGACUAGGCCAGGAGUCAAAGGGGACCCCAAAUCCUCCCUGGGACAUCCCAAAGACUGACUAAGAGUCAGGGAAAUUUAAUCCACAGGCCUUCCCCAGUGCUGAGACUGUUCUACAACAGAAAUGUGCUUUGAACCCCAAUACUCACUGCCCAAAGCUGCCCCUGGAGCAGCAGACCUCUAAGCGGGGUUUGCAACAUGAAUUGUCCUAAAGGAAUCUAUUUCCAGAGCUUCAAACUCCAUGUCAUUCCUAAAACUGCCUGCAAACCUGCUUUGGGUUCAGGACCUGAUCACCCCUCUCUCCACUUUGCAAAAGAAAGAGAACAACCCCCCAUCUCAGUAGGAUGCAGUGCCCCGAGGUGGGGCGGAUGGGAGGACAAGAUUAAAACCUCCAGGGCACCAAACAAAGGCGUAACUGGAAAGACUGGUCUUUAAUCCCUUAUCUCAAACUCCUGGGCCAGAUGUGUUUUGGAAUUCAAAAUUUUUUGGAUUUUACAAGACUAGUUCUAGGAUAUCCCAUACAUCACCUAACACCCCCAGCGUGGCCAGGGGACAUCAAGCUAUAAUCAAAUGCAUUAACCGUCCUGCAGCAAAAGUAUGAAUUUCCCACAUUAAAUAGGAGAAAUAGAGAUAUAAAAUAGCCUCACAGAAGAGUUCCACUUUAUAAUCUACUUUUGCCAUAAAUGGUGCCAAAUUUAAGAAAAGGAUUUCAGUUUUCAGGGCUUUUUAGAUUUCGGAAUUAUGAGCAAGAGAUUGUGGAAUGAUACUACAUUACAGGAAGGCUCCUUAAAUGAUCAAUCUGGGUGCCUUAAAUCCACAAGGUAUAUUUUUUCACACUGCAUUUUGACUUUCUGUCUCAUCCAUCUUUCUGUGAAGAGUAAAGCUCAUCCAAAGGGUUAUGCUCUGAAUUUAUACGCAAAGCGGUACAGAUUAGUGACACUGAUUCUUUUAAAUAUACCUGGUAUAUUUCUGGGACUGCCAAAAUUUUGUAAGACACACGGAUUUUAAAAAACAGAUUUCUUUCUGAUUCAAGGCACAUUCUUAAUCAAAGUACUUUAGAAGCCAUUUUAUCAAAUCAUGUCUCAAAACAUUCCAAGGGCAGUCAGUCCUCAUCCUAUAUCAUCUUUUUAAAAUGUUUAAUAUUUUCUGCCUCCCAUUGCAAAAAUCACACCUAAACUUUAGAUGUCAACCUAAAAACGUACAAGAGCUUUUCAAAAUUAUUUCGUGUGCAAGCCCUACCCCCCCUACUUAGGCAAGACCAAGUGGAGACUGAGCCCGCCUGUGCCCACGCUUUCCUCUCCCUACAGCCUGUCCUCGCAAACCCCUUCCUUCACUUGCAUUUGAAACCCCACUUAAGUGGUCCCAAUUAACACCCUCCAGCUGCUGGCUCCGGAACUGGCCACAGGUGGACUCUCCUGAACCCCUCAGAGGUCCUCCCACUUGUGGAACCCAUCCUCCCUGCGGCUUUCGUCACAUAGAGGGGCCCCCCAACAUAACUGAGUCACCCCUCUUUCCCUGCACAUGGGGGAGUCCAGCUGUCCUAUUAGGAAGGCCCCAUUUCUCUCUUCUGGGAGAUCCUCUAUUCCAAACCCUUCCCCCAUCACGCCGAGAGGCGAUACUUUCCCCCAGAAGAGUUCUCAGUCCCCGCACUCUGAAGGGGGGGUCUGUCCCCCUUAUCUUCCCUCCCCUUCCGGCGUCUCGCGUGGACACCGAAUGGGUAACGGUCACCAGGGGCCGAUUUUCCCGCGCGCGGGCGCGGCCUCCUCGACAAGCCCCCGCGCGUGCGCGCGCCGGUCCGGCCGCGAUCUGCAGCGCGCGCCCCCCUCCUGCGUCCCCACUUAGCCCCAGGCCCGCUGCGUUCCGAGGCGCGCGCCCCCUCCCCUGAGCCCCGCCCAGCCCCGCGCACCAGGCCCGCGCUCCCCGAGCCUCAUCCUUUCCGCGCCGAGCUUCCGGCUCCCGGCGCCGGGGCCUCGGACGCCGGGGCCCCGAGCCGGCAACGCCACCCCUCCAGCCCACCCGGCCCGGCCAGCGGGCCCGCGCCUCUGCCUCCACUGCUUCACCUUUUAAAUUUUCCGCCAUCUUUCCCCACGGCUAACGACAUUCGGGCCUA